rnacentral:rRNA from 1 species
UACGUAGGGUGUAAGCGUUGUCCGGAAUUAUUGGGCGUAAAGGGCUCGUAGGCGGUUUGUCGCGUCGGGAGUGAAAUCACUGGGCUUAACCGAGUGCUUGCUUUCGAUACGGGCAGACUUGAGGCAUUCAGGGGAGAACGGAAUUCCUGGUGUAGCGGUGAAAUGCGCAGAUAUCAGGAAGAACACCCGUGGCGAAGGCGGCUCUCUGGGACGGUACUGACGCUGAGACGCGAAAGCGUGGGGAGCGAACAGG